GACAGAGGGGGUAAGCGUUGCUCGGAAUCACUGGGCGUAAAGGGCGCGUAGGCGGGAUGGCAAGUCGGUCGUGAAAUCCUUCGGCUCAACCGAAGAACGUCGGCCGAUACUGCCGUUCUUGAGGGAUGCAGAGGAGAUUGGAAUUCCCGGUGUAGCGGUGAAAUGUGUAGAGAUCGGGAGGAACACCGGUGGCGAAGGCGGGUUGCUGGGCUGACACUGACGCUGAUGCGCGAAAGCCAGGGGAGCAAACGGG
rnacentral:rRNA from 1 species